rnacentral:rRNA from 1 species
UACGUAGGGGGCUAGCGUUGUUCGGAAUUACUGGGCGUAAAGAGCGCGUAGGCGGUGCGGUGUGUUUGGUGUGAAAUCUCCCGGCUCAACCGGGAGGGGCCAUCGAAAACUGCCGUGCUGGAGUGCGGAAGAGGAGAGUGGAAUUCCUGGUGUAGCGGUGAAAUGCGUAGAUAUCAGGAGGAACACCGGUGGCGAAGGCAGGUCUCUGGGCAUUAACUGACGCUGAGGAGCGAAAGCUAGGGGAGCAAACGGG